rnacentral:rRNA from 1 species
ACCCGCUGGAUUUAAGCAUAUCACUAAGCGGAGGAAAAGAAAUUAACUAAGAUUGCCCCAGUAACGGCGAGUGAAGCGGCAAAAGCCCAAAUUGGUAAUCUUCACGCUGUGCGUGACGAAUUGUAGGGUUAAGGUGGUGCGCUUACCUGUCUCUGAUACUGAAGUGUCCUGGAACGGAACGCCAUGGAGGGUGAUAGCCCCGUAAGUGUUGGAGGCUACCUAGUGCCUACUAUAGAGUCGGGUUGUUUGGUAUUGCAGCCCUAAUUGGGAGAUAGACUUCUUCUAAGGCUAAAUAUGUAUGGGAAACCGAUAGCAAACAAGUACUGUGAAGGAAAGAUGAAAAGAACUUUGAAAAGAGAGUCAAAAGACUUGAAAUUGUUGAGAAGGAAGCGGUAGAAAUUUAUUCUUCGGUUAGGAAUGAAGGUUGGCAUCUAACUAUCCUCGUGCGGAGUACUUCAUAGGCUCAUGUACGUUGCUUGGGGAAAUGCUUGCUGGAUUCCUGGCUGAGAGGCAAAAUGGAGCGUUCUUCCCUAAGGAGUCUGGAGAUUGGGGUUGAUUCGUCAAUCAGUCUUCAGGGUUUCAAGGGGAGGCCGCUUGAGGGUGCUUUUGCGAUUUUGCUUAAAUGGUUUUUACCGACCCGUCUCGAAACACGGACCAAGGAGUCUACCUUAUGUGCGAGUGUGCUGGUGGAGAAACCAACACGCGGAAUGAAAGUGAUUGAUGCCAAGUUCGCGGCAGCAUCGACCAACCAUGAUCCUCUGGUGAAAGGUUUGAGUAUGAGCACAUAGGUUAGGACCCGAAAGAUGGUGAACUAUGCCUGAGUAGGGUGAAGCCAGGGGAAACUCUGGUGGAAGCUCGCAGCGAUUCUGACGUGCAAAUCGAUCGUCAAACUUGGGUAUAGGGGCGAAAGACUAAUCGAACCAUCUAGUAGCUGGUUCCCUCCGAAGUUUCCCUUAGGAUAGCUGGGACAAGAACGCAGUUUUAUCAGGUAAAGCGAAUGAUUAGAGGUAUCUGGGGUAAUUUGCUCUGGACCUAUUCUCAAACUUUAAAUUGGUAAGAACCUCGGCCUUACUUAAUUGAGGCACGGGGGACCAAUGCAUGUCCCUAGUGGGCCAUUUUUGGUAAGCAGAACUGGCGAUGAGGGUUGCUCCUAACGUUGAGUUAAGGUGCCUAACUGCACGCUCAUCAGAUCCUACAAAGGGUGUUGGUUCAUUAAGACAGCAGGACGGUGGCCAUGGAAGUCGGAAUCCGCUAAGGAGUGCGUAACAACUCACCUGCCGAAUGGAUUAGCCCCGAAAAUCGAUGGCGCUAAAGCGUGCGACCGAUACUCAACCAUUGUAGCGAGAGUUAGGCUACAAUGAGUAGGAGGGCGUGAACGUUGUUGCGAAGCCUCUGGCGUGAGCCUGGGUUGAACAGCGUUUAGUGCAGAUCUUGGUGGUAGUAGCAAUUAUUCAAAUGAGAACUUUGAAGGCCGACGUGGAGAAGGCUUCCGUGAGAACAGCAAUUGGUCACGGGUGACUCGAUCCUAAGACAUGGGGGAAAUCCUUGUUAAGUGCAGCGUUUGCUGCGUAGUCGAAAGGGAAUGAGGUUAAUAUUCCUCAAGCUGGAUGUGGGUGUUGUAUGGUAACAUAAAUGAGCUCAGAGACGCCAGUGUGAGCCUCUGGAAGAGUUAUCUUUUCUUUUUAACAGGCUAGUGACCUUGAAAUUGGAUUAACCAGAGAUAAGGUGGCAUGCCUGGAAGAGCACCUUGCUUUUUGAGGUGUCAGGUGCGCUCAUAAUGGCCCUUGAAAAUCUGAGUGAGAUAGCUUCACACCAGGUCGUACCCAUAACCGCAUCAGGUCUCCAAGGUU